GACAGAGGUUGCAAACGUUGUUCGGAAUUACUGGGCAUAAAGCGCACGUAGGCGGUCCGUUAAGUCAUGUGUGAAAUCCCCCGGCUCAACCGGGGAAUUGCGCCUGAUACUGGCGGGCUAGAGGUCGAUAGGGGUGAGCGGAACUCCAGGUGGAGCGGUGAAAUGCGUAGAUAUCUGGAGGAACACCGGUGGCGAAAGCGGCUCACUGGAUCGAAACUGACGCUGAGGUGCGAAAGCUAGGGUAGCAAACAGG
rnacentral:rRNA from 1 species